rnacentral:rRNA from 1 species
UACGUAGGCAGCGAGCGUUGUUCGGAGUUACUGGGCGUAAAGGGCGCGUAGGCGGCCUGUUAAGUCGAACGUGAAAUCCCCGGGCUCAACCCGGGAACUGCGUCCGAUACUGGCAGGCUUGAAUCCGGGAGAGGGAUGCGGAAUUCCAGGUGUAGCGGUGAAAUGCGUAGAUAUCUGGAGGAACACCGGUGGCGAAGGCGGCAUCCUGGACCGGCAUUGACGCUGAG